rnacentral:lncRNA from 1 species
CAAGAGUUCGAACUACUAAGUAUGGCUUAAGAUCGUUUCGCUAUAAUGCUGCACAAAUCUGGAAUGAGCUACCGAACCAUUGUCGAAUGGAAACAUCUUUUGACCAAUUCAAAAAAUUGGAACAAAUAUGGGAUCCAAGUAACAGCUCAUGCCAGUGCAGUGCAUGCAUAUAGUGUUUAUGCCUGUUUUAUUUUACUUUUAUUUUUUUGUGUGACUAUAUGAUUUGUGCAAUCUUAUUAUUAACUUGUGCUAUGUUUUAAGUGUACUAUAUGC